AUGGUCAUCACCAUGUCAAGAGUCCAUUUGGCAAGUGACACGUGCCACAUCUACUUCAUGCAUACAAAGGUGAAUCAUCUCCUUUACACGUGUUCACUUGUACCUUUCGAGGAUGGUAUACUACUUGACCCCUCUCAGGUGUGCAUACAUAGGUGUGAGCGGAGCUACACAUUCAUCGAGGAGGAGUCCAAGAAGAAGAGAACAUCUACACCAUCCAAGAGGGAAGCCUGGAAGCGGAGAAGGAAGCGCCAAGAAGAAGGCAGCAUCUCCCAUGCGACCCCGUGCGCACGGGCCCCUCCGACCCCGUGCCCACGGGCCUCCUAG
rnacentral:rRNA from 1 species